rnacentral:rRNA from 1 species
AACGAACGCUGGCGGCAGGCCUAACACAUGCAAGUCGAGCGCCCCGCAAGGGGGGCGGCGGACGGGUGAGUAACGCGUGGGAAUUUUCCUCGAGGUACGGAACAACUCAGGGAAACUUGGGCUAAUACCGUAUGAUGUCUAGCGACCAAAGAUUUAUCGCCUUGGGAUAAGCCCGCGUCAGAUUAGGUAGUUGGUGGGGUAACGGCCUACCAAGCCUGCGAUCUGUAGCUGGUCUGAGAGGACGAUCAGCCACAUUGGGACUGAGACACGGCCCAAACUCCUACGGGAGGCAGCAGUGGGGAAUCUUGCGCAAUGGGCGAAAGCCUGACGCAGCCAUGCCGCGUGAAUGAUGAAGGUCUUAGGAUUGUAAAGUUCUUUCGCUCGUGACGAUGAUGACGGUAACGAGAGAAGAAGCCCCGGCUAACUUCGUGCCAGCCGCCGCCGUAA